ACUGGAGGGAGGACAGCGCAAGGUCCCGGGACAAAGGGUGGCGCAUAAGUCCAGCUCAUAACUUCAUGGGCAAGCAACUUAGGGGACGUGGGCCUGGUUAUAGCUGAGCAUGCCUUUUAUCUUCCCCCCAGACCACAGUUCUUCAGACCUGGAGCCACUUUCAGAGAAGAGUAUAAAUUGAACUGAAUUGAAAAAGGGAAAAGUUUUGGACUGCUGAAGAUGGAAUUCUUGGGGACAUUAAACUGGGCUGAGAUGGAACAGAUAAGAUUUCCUUAAUUAGAGCAAGACACACCUAGUAUCUAGAGCCUGAAAGUCUUGGUCAAGGAUUCUCCCUAACAUUUCAGUUUCUGAGCACUAACAUUCCUGCUACUAAAAUGAAGUGCGAGAUUAAUUUCUGAAGUAAAGAAAUAAACUAAAAUUUCUAGAAAAGAGAUAAGAAGAAUGAGCCUUUGAAAAACAGCCUUCACAAAGACUGGCAUGAUGGCAUGGAAGAAAGAGCCCCAGGUCACUGUCACAUCCAUUUGUGAAAAUGGAGAGGACUGGUGGAGCAGGGUCUGACUGCUGGAGCACCGCCCAGCUGCUGAAACGGCCUGCUGCAACCUGAAAUCAGUUUUAUGUAACAGAUACGGAAACAACCUACUUGACUCUAGACUCCUUUUACCCACUGCUAUCACUCACCAAUCAGAACCUGUCAACUCCUCAAAACUUUAUUAGUGCCUAUGAAUUUUCUUUCAAAGUAAUACAUAACGUUUCUCCUUUUUUAAAACCUCCAACCUUCCCUUCGUUCUUCAGACAUACCCAAAACCACCAUGCCUGUGUUUAUGGCCUGAAUUGCAAUUCUUGUGUCCCAAAUAAAACAUUUUAAAAUUAGUCUAUUUUAUUUGACUUUGACAGUUUCAUGCAGUUUAUUGAAUACUGUGCUGACAGUUUUCUGAGCACAUUUAAAGUAGGCUAGGUUAAGCUAUAAUGUUUGGUAUGUUAGGUAUAUUAAACAUAUUUUCAACUUAUGAUGUUUUCAAUUUACAAUUAGUUUAUUGGGAUGUAACCGAAUCGUAAGUCAAGGAGCAUCUGUAGUUUGAAAUAGUAAGAUUACAUUAUGAAGAAAGGUUUAAAUCCCUGAUCUGCCUGCAACUUGUCUGAGGCUUGGUUGAGACAAUUGCCUGUACCUAUUACACCGUAGUUCACUUUCCGACCCUUCGUAGGCGUUAAAUUGUGUCCCCUUUAGGCUCAAGUGAUCCCCCACCUUGGCAUCCCAAAGUGCUGGUAUUACAGGUGUGAGUCACCACACCUUGCCCCCAAAAUAUUUUAAAAAUACAUUAUACAACUAUAUUUUUCUGUGACUGUUUUCUGAACCCACACCCACCCCCAGUACAAGACACUUAUCUAUUACCUUUUUUUAGUUGUAUAUAUUUAAGGUGUAUCAUGUAAUUUUGAGACACAUAUACAUAGUGAAAUGAAUACUACAAUCAAGCAAAUUAACAUAUUCAUCAUCUCACAUGGUUACCUUUUAUGUGUAUGGUUCUAUAAACUCUCACUUGAAAUUUAUUUAAUUAUUUCACCACAGGAUUCUUGUAGAAAGUUAAUGAGUAGAAGGCCAGGCGUGGUGGCUCAUGUCUGUAAUCCCAGCACAUUGGGCGGCCAAGGUGGGCAGAUCACCUGAGGUCAGGAGUUUCAGACCAGUCUGGCCAACGUGGUGAAACCCCAUCUCUACCCCCAAAAAAGAAAAAAA
ensembl:lncRNA